rnacentral:rRNA from 1 species
UACGUAGGGUGCGAGCGUUGUCCGGAAUUAUUGGGCGUAAAGAGCUCGUAGGCGGUCUGUUGCGUCGGCUGUGAAAACCCGGGGCUCAACUCCGGGCCUGCAGCCGAUACGGGCAGACUAGAGUUCGGCAGGGGGAGACUGGAAUUCCUGGUGUAGCGGUGAAAUGCGCAGAUAGUCAGGAGGAACAGCCGAUGGCGAAGGCAGGUCUCUGGGCUGACACUGACGCU